AUUUAUAUAGUUUAAAUUAAAACAUUACAUUUUCAAUGUAAAAAAAAUUUUUUAAAAUUUAUAAAUA
rnacentral:tRNA from 1 species